rnacentral:lncRNA from 1 species
CAUCUUUUUUCUUUUUAAGAGAAAAAGGAGAGAGAAGAAAGAAAGAGCCCUAGACCUAGAUACGUAAGGUGGAAAGAAUUAAUUAUGGUUUAGUGUUAAUUACAAUCAAGUUAGCAAACAAUUAAACCUAGACACCUAUGAGUUUCUUAGACCUAACAGUUCGAUGUAGAGUGGUUUAGUUUAGAUACAAAUUGGAUUUAUUCUUACUUCCUUCAACUAGCC